rnacentral:rRNA from 1 species
GUGGGGAAUAUUGGACAAUGGGGGGAACCCUGAUCCAGCCAUGCCGCGUGUGUGAAGAAGGCCUCUUGGUUGUAAAGCACUUUAAGCGAGGAGGAGGCUACCGAGAUUAAUACUCUUGGAUAGUGGACGUUACUCGCAGAAUAAGCACCGGCUAACUCUGUGCCAGCAGCCGCGGUAAUACAGAGGGUGCAAGCGUUAAUCGGAUUUACUGGGCGUAAAGCGCGCGUAGGUGGCCAAUUAAGUCAAAUGUGAAAUCCCCGAGCUUAACUUGGGAAUUGCAUUCGAUACUGGUUGGCUAGAGUAUGGGAGAGGAUGGUAGAAUUCCAGGUGUAGCGGUGAAAUGCGUAGAGAUCUGGAGGAAUACCGAUGGCGAAGGCAGCCAUCUGGCCUAAUACUGACACUGAGGUGCGAAAGCAUGGGGAGCAAACAGGAUUAGAAACCCUGGUAGUCC